rnacentral:rRNA from 1 species
CUGAUGCUAUCGGAUGAUACUAAGCCAUGCUAGUCUUUGUAGUAAUACAAGGCAUACGGCUCAGUAACGCGUAGUCAACCUACCCUAUGGGCGGGGAUAAUCUCGGGAAACUGAGCAUAAUACCCGGCAGACCACUUAUCCUGGAAUGGUUAGUGGUUAAAAUGAUUCGUCGCCAUAGGAUGGGACUGCGGCCUAUCAGCUUGUUGGUGAGGUAAUGGCCCACCAAGGCGAUUACAGGUACGGGCUCUGAGAGGAGAAGCCCGGAGAUGGGUACUGAGACAAGGACCCAGGCCCUAUGGGGCGCAGCAGGCGAGACAACUUUGCAAUGUGCGAAAGCACGACAAGGUUAAUCCGAGUGAUUUCUGCUAAAGGAAUCUUUUGUUAGUUCUAAAAAUACUAGUGAAUAAGGGGUGGGCAAGUUCUGGUGUCAGCCGCCGCGGUAAAACNAGCACCUCAAGUGGUCAGGAAGAUUAUUGGGCCUAAAGCAUCCGUAGCCCUGUUCU